rnacentral:rRNA from 1 species
UACGAAGGGGGCGAGCGUUGUUCGGAUUUACUGGGCGUAAAGGGCGCGCAGGCGGCUAUCCAAGUCAGGCGUGAAAGCCCGGGCUUAACCUGGGAGGUGCGUCUGGGACUGGGUGGCUAGAGUUCGGGAGAGGAGAGUGGAAUUCCCAGUGUAGAGGUGAAAUUCGUAGAUAUUGGGAAGAACACCGGUGGCGAAGGCGGCUCUCUGGACCGAGACUGACGCUGAGGCGCGAAAGCGUGGGGAGCAACAGGG